rnacentral:rRNA from 1 species
AGAGUUUGAUCCUGGCUCAGGACGAACGCUGGCGGCGUGCCUAAUACAUGCAAGUCGAGCGAGCUUGCCUAGAUGAUUUUAGUGCUUGCACUAAAUGAAACUAGAUACAAGCGAGCGGCGGACGGGUGAGUAACACGUGGGUAACCUGCCCAAGAGACUGGGAUAACACCUGGAAACAGAUGCUAAUACCGGAUAACAACACUAGACGCAUGUCUAGAGUUUGAAAGAUGGUUCUGCUAUCACUCUUGGAUGGACCCGCGGUGCAUUAGCUAGUUGGUAAGGUAACGGCUUACCAAGGCAAUGAUGCAUAGCCGAGUUGAGAGACUGAUCGGCCACAUUGGGACUGAGACACGGCCCAAACUCCUACGGGAGGCAGCAGUAGGGAAUCUUCCACAAUGGACGAAAGUCUGAUGGAGCAACGCCGCGUGAGUGAAGAAGGGUUUCGGCUCGUAAAGCUCCGUUGGUAGUGAAGAAAGAUAGAGGUAGUAACUGGCCUUUAUUUGACGGUAAUUACUUAGAAAGUCACGGCUAACUACGUGCCAGCAGCCGCGGUAAUACGUAGGUGGCAAGCGUUGUCCGGAUUUAUUGGGCGUAAAGCGAGUGCAGGCGGUUCAAUAAGUCUGAUGUGAAAGCCUUCGGCUCAACCGGAGAAUUGCAUCAGAAACUGUUGAACUUGAGUGCAGAAGAGGAGAGUGGAACUCCAUGUGUAGCGGUGGAAUGCGUAGAUAUAUGGAAGAACACCAGUGGCGAAGGCGGCUCUCUGGUCUGCAACUGACGCUGAGGCUCGAAAGCAUGGGUAGCGAACAGGAUUAGAUACCCUGGUAGUCCAUGCCGUAAACGAUGAGUGCUAAGUGUUGGGAGGUUUCCGCCUCUCAGUGCUGCAGCU